rnacentral:rRNA from 1 species
AGAGUUUGAUCCUGGCUCAGGAUGAACGCUAGCUACAGGCUUAACACAUGCAAGUCGAGGGGAAACGACAUCGAAAGCUUGCUUUUGAUGGGCGUCGACCGGCGCACGGGUGAGUAACGCGUAUCCAACCUGCCCACCACUUGGGGAUAACCUUGCGAAAGUAAGACUAAUACCCAAUGACGUCUCUAGAAGACAUCUGAAAGAGAUUAAAGAUUUAUCGGUGAUGGAUGGGGAUGCGUCUGAUUAGCUUGUUGGCGGGGUAACGGCCCACCAAGGCUACGAUCAGUAGGGGUUCUGAGAGGAACGGUCCCCCANAUUGGAACUGAGACACGGUCCCAAACUCCGUACGGGAGGCA